rnacentral:rRNA from 1 species
GACGAACGCUGGCGGCGUGCCUAAUACAUGCAAGUAGAACGCUGAAGAGAGGAGCUUGCUCUUCUUGGAUGAGUUGCGAACGGGUGAGUAACGCGUAGGUAACCUGCCUUGUAGCGGGGGAUAACUAUUGGAAACGAUAGCUAAUACCGCAUAACAAUGUAGGACACAUGUCAUUUAUUUGAAAGGGGCAAUUGCUCCACUACAAGAUGGACCUGCGUUGUAUUAGCUAGUAGGUGAGGUAAUGGCUCACCUAGGCGACGAUACAUAGCCGACCUGAGAGGGUGAUCGGCCACACUGGGACUGAGACACGGCCCAGACUCCUACGGGAGGCAGCAGUAGGGAAUCUUCGGCAAUGGGGGCAACCCUGACCGAGCAACGCCGCGUGAGUGAAGAAGGUUUUCGGAUCGUAAAGCUCUGUUGUAAGUCAAGAACGGGUGUGAGAGUGGAAAGUGCACACUGUGACGGUAGCUUACCAGAAAGGGACGGCUAACUACGUG